UAGCUUGCUAUCUGGGUGGCGACCGGCGCACGGGUGCGUAACGCGUAUGCAACUUACCCUAUACAGGAGGAUAACCCGUCGAAAGACGGACUAAUACUGCGUAUGCUCACAACUUGGCAUCAAGUGGUGAGGAAAGAAAUUCGGUAUAGGAUAGGCAUGCGUCCCAUUAGCUUGUUGGUGAGGUAACGGCUCACCAAGGCCACGAUGGGUAGGGGAACUGAGAGGUUUAUCCCCCACACUGGUACUGAGACACGGACCAGACUCCUACGGGAGGCAGCAGUGAGGAAUAUUGGUCAAUGGGCGGGAGCCUGAACCAGCCAAGUCGCGUGAAGGAUGACUGUCUUAUGGAUUGUAAACUUCUUUUAUACGGGAAUAACAAGAGUCACGUGUGACUCCCUGCAUGUACCGUAUGAAUAAGCAUCGGCUAACUCCGUGCCAGCAGCCGCGGUAAUACGGAGGAUGCGAGCGUUAUCCGGAUUUAUUGGGUUUAAAGGGUGCGUAGGCGGUUUGUUAAGUCAGCGGUGAAAUCUAGAGGCUCAACCUCGAAACUGCCCGUUGAAACCUGGCGAACUUGAGUGUAGAUGAGGUAGGCGGAAUUCGUGGUGUAGCGGUGAAAUGCAUAGAUAUCACGAGGAACUCCGAUUGCGAAGGCAGCUUACUAAGGUACAACUGACGCUGAAGCACGAAAGCGUGGGUAUCAAACAGGAUUAGAUANCCUGGUAGUCCACGCAGUAAACGAUGAUAACUGGGCGUAUGCGAUAUACAGUAUGC
rnacentral:rRNA from 1 species